CACGUAGGGGGCGAGCGUUGUCCGGAUUUAUUGGGCGUAAAGAGCGUGUAGGCGGCCAGGUAGGUCUGCUGUGAAAACUCGAGGCUCAACCUCGAGACGUCGGCGGAAACCAUCUGGCUAGAGUCCGGAAGAGGAGAGUGGAAUUCCUGGUGUAGCGGUGAAAUUCGUGGAUAUCAGGAGGAACACCUAUGGCGAAAGCAGCUCUCUGGGACGGUACUGACGCUGAGACGCGAAAGCGUGGGGAGCGAACAGG
rnacentral:rRNA from 1 species